rnacentral:rRNA from 1 species
GAAAGUAAAGAAGGGCGCAUGGCGGAUGCCUUGGCUCUCGGAGGCGAUGAAGGACGUGAUAAGCUGCGAUAAGCUUUGGGGAGGUGCAAAUGACCUUUGAUCCAGAGAUUUCCGAAUGGGACAACCCAAUAUCUUGAAGAGGUAUUAUCCAACGUUGUUGGAGGCUAACGCAGGGAACUGAAACAUCUUAGUACCUGCAGGAAAAGAAAAUAAACAAUGAUUCCCCCAGUAGUGGCGAGCGAACGGGGAACAGCCCAAACCAUCCAUGUUACGGCAUGGGUGGGGUUGUAGGACUACGCCAUUGCAUGAAGACAUCAGAGAAGAACUUUCUGGAAAGAAAGACCAUAGAGCAUGACAGUUGCGUAUUCGAAUGUUGUCGAAGCAUAGUAGUAUCCUGAGUAGCGCGGAGCACGAGGAAUUCUGCGUGAAUCUGCCGGGACCAUCCGGUAAGGCUAAAUACUCCCGAGAGACCGAUAGCGAACCAGUACCGUGAGGGAAAGGUGAAAAGCACUUCGAACAGAAGAGUGAAAUAGUUCCUGAAACCGUGCGCCUACAAGCGGUCGGAGCUCGUUAAUGAGUGACGGCGUGCCUUUUGCAUAAUGAACCUACGAGUUGCCUUUGCCGGCAAGGUUAAGUGUGACGACACACGUAUCCGAAGCGAAAGCGAGUCUGAACAGGGCGUAUAGUCGGCAGUGGCAGACGCGAAACCAAGUGAUCUACCCUUGGCCAGGUUGAAGGCUGGGUAACACCAGCUGGAGGACCGCACCAAUAAGCGUUGAAAAGCUUCUGGAUGAGCUGAGGGUAGGGGUGAAAGGCUAAUCAAACUUGGAGAUAGCUCGUACUCCCCGAAAUGCAUUUAGGUGCAGCCUUGCGGGUUACUGAUGUGAGGUAGAGCGACUGAUAAGAUGCGAGGGCUUCACCGCCUAUCAAGUCUUGACAAACUCCGAAUGCGCAUCAGUUCUACCGCAGGAGUGAGGGCAUGGGUGCUAAGGUCCGUGCCCGAGAGGAGAAGAAUCCGGACCACCUGCUAAGGUCCCGAAAUGACAGCUAAGUUAAACUAACGAAGUCUGACUGCUAAGACAGCUAGGAUGUUGGCUUGGAAGCAGCCAUUCAUUUAAAGAGUGCGUAACAGCUCACUAGUCGAGGAGUCGGGCGUGGAUAAUAAUCGGGUAUUAAGUUGUCUACCGAAGCAGUGGGAUCAUUAAUAUGAUCGGUAGGGGAGCAUUCCAGUCAGCGUCGAAGGCGUACCGUGAGGUAUUCUGGAGCGUCUGGAAAAGCAAAUGUAGGUAUAAGUAACGAUAAAGGGGGCGGGAAACCCCCUCGCCGAAAGACUAAGGUUUCCUGAUCAACGCUAAUCGGAUCAGGGUCAGUCGGGUCCUAAGGCUCAGCCGAACGGCGAUGCCGAUGGCAGAAACGGUUAAUAUUCCGUUACUACCUUCAGGAGUGACGUGGAGACGCAGUAGUGACAGUGCCGCCAUCUGACGGAAUAGAUGGUUGAAGGGUGUAGGAGUCGAUCAUGGCAGGCAAAUCCACCAUGAGAUCCGAACCUGACAGUAUGCCGCGUCCUUCGGGACAAGGCAAUAGUGCGCGUAAGCAUGCUGCCGAGAAAAUCCGCUAAACUUAAUCCUGCAGGUACCCGUACCGCAAACGGACACACGUAGUCGGGAUGAAUAUUCUAAGGCGCUUGAGUGAUUCACGGUUAAGGAACUAGGCAAACUGACCCUGUAACUUCGGGAUAAAGGGUCCCUACCCUUUUAUGGGAGGGCGCAGAGAAUCGGUCCAGGCAACUGUUUAACAAAAACACAGGGCUGUGCCAAAUCGAAAGAUCCAGUAUACAGCCUGACACCUGCCCGGUGCUGGAAGGUUAAGAGGAGAUGUCAUCGAUAAGAGAAGCGUUGAAUUGAAGCCCCAGUAAACGGCGGCCGUAACUAUAACGGUCCUAAGGUAGCGAAAUUCCUUGUC